CCUACGGGCGACUGCAGUAGGGAAUAUUGCUCAAUGGGGGAAACCCUGAAGCAGCAACGCCGCGUGGAGGAUGAAGGUUUUAGGAUUGUAAACUCCUUUUGUUAGAGAAGAUUAUGACGGUAUCUAACGAAUAAGCACCGGCUAACUCCGUGCCAGCAGCCGCGGUAAUACGGAGGGUGCAAGCGUUACUCGGAAUCACUGGGCGUAAAGAGUGCGUAGGCGGGGUAAUAAGUCAGAUGUGAAAUCCUGUAGCUUAACUACAGAACUGCAUUUGAAACUGUUACUCUGGAGUGUGGGAGAGGUAGGUGGAAUGCGUGGUGUAGGGGUAAAAUGCGUAGAGAUCAAGAGGAAUACUCAUUGCGAAGGCGACCUGCUGGAACAUUACUGACGCUGAUGCACGAAAGCGUGGGGAGCAAACAGGAUUAGAUACCCCAGUAGUC
rnacentral:rRNA from 1 species